rnacentral:rRNA from 1 species
CGAGGCAGCCCUACCACCUCGUCAAUGAUCUCAUCUGAUAUCAGAAGCUUAGCAGGGUUGGGCCAGGUUACUACAUGAAUGAGACCGCUCAGAAUACCAGGAAUACAGUGGCAUAGC